rnacentral:rRNA from 1 species
AAUAUUGGACAAUGGGGGGAACCCUGAUCCAGCCAUGCCGCGUGUGUGAAGAGGGUCUUCGGAUUGUAAAGCACUCUAAGUUGGGAGGAAGAGUUGUAGGCUAAUACCUUGCAAUUUUGACGUUACCAACAGAAUAAGCACCGUCUAACUUCGUGCCAGCAGCCGCGGUAAUACGAAGGGUGCAAGCGUUAAUCGGAAUUACUGGGCGUAAAGCGGGGGUAUGCGGUUCGUUAAGUUGGAAGUGAAAGCCCCGGGCUUAACCUGGGAAUUGCUUUCAAAACUGACGAGCUAGAGUACGGUAGAGGGUAGUGGAAUUUCCUGUGUAGCGGUGAAAUGCGUAGGUAUAGGAAGGAACAUCAGUGGCGAAGGCGACUACCUGGACUGAUACUGACACUGAGGUGGGAAAGCGUGGGGGGCAAACAGG